CAAAUGUUAAAGAAGGGAAACGUGCACUAGACACAUGAUUGCCGCUUUUUGUGUUUGAAAAAUUUAAUUAAUUGUUGAACACUUGGUAUACAUUUAUUUUGUAAUUGUUAUAUUCACAAAUUUUCCAAUGUUAUUUUCUUUUUGAAGAAUGUAAGAAAUACAGUGUGAACCAUAUUUCAUGUUUUCCAAUAUGCAUAGUUGCACUGGACUGACAGUAUUCCAUCACUUUUUACAUUUUAUUUACAGUACCCAGAAGGGAUGCCACAAGUGGCGAAGGUUCGCGAUUUCUUGAUUUCAAACAUUAAAUGGGUGUGCGGGGCAGUGCUGUUAGUGGUAGUAUCGGCGAGUAUAAUUGUCGCUAUCGUUCUUAUGUUACAACCAAAACCACAAGGCGAUAAUCCCAAGUACACAGCCACGUGUGUUCUCGUCGAUUACACGAUGUGGAAACCGAUCCAGACUCGCUGCAAAGUAUCAGUACCGGCAGAAAUGGAAGCCGAUAUAAACGUCAGCAAAACGUCAUUCUCUCUCAAUAGCGGCGAAUCGUUACCAGUCAACUGCUCCUAUCAAGAUAUGGAUAGGGUAAUAACUUGCCAGGGGCCGCAUGUAACCUGUCAGAUCCGCGGGACUCUCUCAAUCGCAUUCUUUGACAAUGAUGGAAAACCUGUGCUGGACAAAACACUAUUAAAUUAAGGUUCACCCAUUCCUUCCUUGGUGACAAGUGUGGUUCAAGUUUUUAGCCUGUUGGUAAAAAUUUGACUUCAAAUUUCAACUUUACGUGUUACUUGACGUCUUCAUGCGAUACCUAUACCAUGGCUCUUUACGUCGGUGGAAGUCUACAUCUUACUGAAGAGGACGCACUUCUUUGCAUCAACACAUCGAUGACAGAUGAUGGAUACAACAAAAGCUGCGUGUUUAAAGUCGACGAAGAUGUGAUACGCCAACAACGUAGUAUGGACAUUUCAUGCGCUCUCCUUCAACAUGGUGUCCUUCCUAAGCAAGACAUGUUUCGACUGCCUAUGUGUUCGAAUAGAUCAUCCGAUUGCAACUGUUCAGCUGAGCCAAGCUCGUGUGGCUCAAUUUGUACACAAGUGGAAAACUGCCUGAGUCAGGACACCGUGUCACGAUAUCAGAACAUUACAACGCGGGAUCCUCUCUUAUGGCAUAUCUGCCCAGUUUUAUGCACCCCGAAGUGGUGUCGUGAUACAUUCAAUGAUGAUAAAACUGAGAUAGAUUCACCGGGAAUCCUCAAAGCCAUGUGCAAAAACGCAUGAAGGGACACAAUAAGUUUUCCUAGUCUCUAUCACGCAAAGGAACAAAAAAUCUCACUCAGGAAAUGUGUUUGUCACAAAUGUUUAUAUUAUUUUGUUAUUUAUUUUAUCAAAAUUUUUCCUAUUAUUUUUAUUGUGUGAUAUUUAAAUGUUUACAGUUUAAGUUAUUGUUUUUUUAGGCUGCCAAGUCAUAUAACAUGUGUUCCAAUAGGUUGACAACAUAAUCUAUUACAGUGUGUGUAUAUGUUUAUAGUUUACAUCAGCAUUUCGUAAAUGUGUUGUUAAACCUUUGCAGCGAACAAGUUAUUGAUACACGCGUUUAUAUAUUAUAUUUACAAAUAUGAACCAGCCCCUUAAAACCAGAUGAUUUUAUCACAUGACAUACCCUGUUUACCUUGUUAUAUUACCAUUACAUAUAUGUUUAUCUAACACAUGUGUAAUAUACUUUUUAAGCGUU